rnacentral:rRNA from 1 species
AUUGAACGCUGGCGGCAGGCCUAACACAUGCAAGUCGAACGAGUGGCGGACGGGUGAGUAAUGUCUGGGAAACUGCCUGAUGGAGGGGGAUAACUACUGGAAACGGUAGCUAAUACCGCAUACCAUCAGAUGUGCCCAGAUGGGAUUAGCUAGUUGGUGGGGUAACGGCUCACCAAGGCGACGAUCCCUAGCUGGUCUGAGAUGGUGACCAUGCAAACUGGAACUGAGACACGUGCCAAACUCCGACGGAUGGCAGCAGUGGGGAAUAUUGCACAAUGGGCGCAAGCCUGAUGCAGCCAGGCCGCGUGGAUGAAGAAGGCCUUCGGGUUGUAAAGUACUUUCAGCGGGGAGGCGUUACCCGCAGAAGAAGCACCGGCUAACUCCGUGCCAGCAGCCGCGGUAAUAC